rnacentral:rRNA from 1 species
UACGUAGGGGGCAAGCGUUGUCCGGAUUUAUUGGGCGUAAAGAGCGUGUAGGCGGCCUGAAAGGUCAGCUGUGAAAACUCGAGGCUCAACCUCGAGACGUCGGUUGAAACCAUCUGGCUAGAGUCCGGAAGAGGAGUGUGGACUUCCCGGUGUAGCGGUGAAAUGCGCAGAUAUCGGGAAGAACACCCGUGGCGAAGGCGGCACUCUGGGACGGUACUGACGCUGAGACGCGAAAGCGUGGGGAGCGAACAGG